rnacentral:lncRNA from 1 species
UACCAUUUAAUGCCUGUUUCUGUACGAUUUAGACACUGUCCUGAGAAGAUGAUAUAUCUCACUUAAUAAGAAAGAACCCCUGUGAAGCGUAUAUUAUUAUUCUUGUUUUAUAGAUGAGUCGGCUGAGCGCAAAGCAUUCCUAUUACGCGCACGUUGCUGUAUGUAUAGUGGACAGUUCUGCUCCCCUGCAGCUAACUCUGAAAUGAAGCCUGGGGUCUGUCUUAGAAGCAACCCCAAUCUAACCAUACCUGCUGAAGGUAAGAAGAGAAAAAGCGAUAUUGGCACAGCCAUCAUGGUGGCCGCUGCUACCUGGUGCACACGGCAGAGGAGUGGGUGCAAUCCGGAUGUUCCCUCCCAAUGCCAGGUAACCACCCACCCUCUUUUCCUCUUUAAAAUCCCGGAUGCUUUUAUCUUUACUCCCCCAAAUGGAAUGCAUGUGUUCAUAUCCAGGACAAAUGGAGACUCUUUUCAGUCCCAGUUUUGUAUGUACUUCUUCAAGCCAGUAUUCCCAGUUUCUGUUAUGUGAGUAGCCCUUUGCCUUGUAUAUAGUGCUGUUACCAAUUUUUCGGCUUUCCAUUGGGCAUUUCAAUGGGAUUUGAGAGAAGAGGUGGAUGUUCGUGUUCAGAUACUACUCCCGAGUCUCAUUACUUGGCUGAGUUCAUGCCUUUGCUGGCUUCUGUUUUCUUGUUUUAGGAUUACUGUGGAUUUAUCUUCAUGUUUAUUUCAAACAUCUUAUUGAACUCUAUUUAAGAUAUUUUAAAGGAUUAUUUUGGUUGUUUCAUUCUUGACUUUCUAGAAACCACCUCUCAAAGUACUAAGGUUCAUGUUUUCUCUUCCUGAUUGGCUUUAUUAUUUGAUUAAGUUUUAUUUAUUGAGAGAAAGAGAGAGAGCAUGCGCGCAUGC